rnacentral:miRNA from 1 species
UGCCACCACAGUGGGCUGCUGC